GUUUUACGGCCACUAAUUCCGGUAGGAGUACAUGGCAUCAGAAUUAGUGUAAAAAGAAUAUAUUAAAAAUUGAACUAUUAAAAUAAGGUAAAUUCAAAAAGAGAAUAUAGUAAAAUGUAUUGGGUGUAAGGUUGACGUUUGUUAAUGAGAAAUUUUUUUGCUAAAAAUUGAAGUGAUGAUCAAAAAAUAUAAUUUGAAAAAACUAAAAAAACACGUGGCAAUUGAGAUUUUAAUAAAUAUUUUCCUACAUCUGUCCUCCAAUUUUGAGCUGAAAUAAUGUAUAUCAAUCUCUGUAAAUAAAAAAAAAAUCAGAAAUUCAAGUAAAUCAAUUAUACGAUAUAAAAUAACUAGAGCUGUGGUGAAAUUUCGUUGUAUGAUCUAAUUAUAAAUUAUUAAGUUAGAAUUACAUGGAUAAUUUGAUUGACAAAAUAUUUUGUCGAUGGAACCAACGUACGGUUGCUGAGUCGGUAAAACUUGUGUUUUACGCACUUGGGGUACAAGAUUCCAACCCUUCUAUGACAAUGAAUAUUUGCAUUUUUUUUCUUAAUUCUUUUUAAGUUAAAAUAAUAUUCAACUCCUUUGAUAUUAAUCACCUUUAGUUUCAAUAAAGAUCAAGGAUCCCAUCACUUUAGUCACCCCGUACGAGAAGAAAUUUCUUAUUCAUAUUUUAAUUAUUUUACUAUAUUUUAAGUCUUAAUUUUGAUGCAA